UACGAGUGCCCCAAGCGUUAUCCGGAAUUAUUGGGUGUAAAGGGUGCGUAGGUGGCUUUAUUAGUCUUAUGUUAAAGCCUGGAGCUUAACUCCAGAUCUGCAUAGGAAACGGUAAAGCUAGAGGGUGUGAGAGGUCUGUGGAACUCAUAGUGUAGGGGUGAAAUCCGUUGAUAUUAUGGGGAACACCAAAAGCGAAGGCAGCAGACUGGCACAUUCCUGACAUUGAGGCACGAAAGCGUAGGUAGCGAAU
rnacentral:rRNA from 1 species